UACGGAGGGUGCAAGCGUUAUCCGGAAUCACUGGGUUUAAAGGGUGCGUAGGCGGCUUUGUAAGUCAGAGGUGAAAGCCCGCAGCUUAACUGCGGAACUGCCUUUGAUACUGUAGAGCUUGAAAGAGGUUGAGGUCAGCGGAACGUGACAUGUAGCGGUGAAAUGCAUAGAUAUGUCACAGAACACCAAUUGCGAAGGCAGCUGGCUGGGCCUACUUUGACGCUGAGGCACGAAAGCGUGGGGAGCGAACAGG
rnacentral:rRNA from 1 species